AGUUAAUAGAUCGGAACUAAUUUUAAUCUAAAUAACCAUUUAUCGACUUUUGAAACGUUUUAAUUUCAACUGGCUUCGUUUUUAUGGAAGUACGUCACUGUUAAUGAUGCUCCCUACGUCACACCUCAGAAACUGGAAAUAAUGUCAUAUAACACCAGGAAGCGGUGAAGAAGUCACACACAUGGGUCUUACAGUUGGGAUGUGGCAUUACUGCAGCGUCCAGCGUCAAUCUCCUGGCUUGGUGGCUGGAUGCAGAGCUGGGAAGCUGCAAAUUAAAGCAACAAAAGAAGAAGAAAUGCCCUGAAAGCAGCCAUACAACCCGAUGCUGGGAUCAACGCCCCAUUAGUCUGUAAAAUAGUUUUUAUACUCACCUGAAACUUACAUUUUUUUUCCAGGAUGAGAGUUUGUUGUCAUCCUACCUGAGCUGUUUUCCCAGAAAUGAAAAAAAAGUCUGCUUUUUGGUUUAUCUUGGGGCAGGAAAAAAAGACAAAACAACCACUGAAACCAAACAGACUCUGACGGACACAGUAAAAAACCCCAGCAGCCUUGACGUUUCUUACCAAGUCAACAAACUUCAUCCUGCUGAAGACGACUGCCGUCUGCAAACACCUGGAAACUGAGCAAACUUAAGAGACUGGACAAUAAAAAAAAAAACAGUGUGGUCUUGUUUAUGAUGAAAUUUUUGAUGUUAUAAAAUGGAAACUCUUAAUAUCAAAGCUUUCUUUGCUGGUAAAGUCUGUGAAAAAAGUACAAAUAAAAUAAAGGCGCAUCAAUCAAGAGAAUACAUAAAUUAUAUGUAUUUAGUGAAUAGCACUACAUGUUGGUUAUGUCCCUUUGUCUCGACUUUGAAAUGUAUUCUCUGAAAUGUCCUGCCAUUGGUUGAUUAUUAGUGUUUGCCAUUGAGUAUCUUGUUAUCUGACAAUAUUGUAAAGAAAAAGAAAAAAUAUGAAUAACCGAGUCUGGUUUUGUUUUGUAAGCUGACAUUUUUCACUUUAACGCUUUAAAAACCACCACAACACAUUUAAUACAAACGUUAAUAGUUUAUAUGGCUAAAUAAAAAGCCUUCGGAAGUCGGAAAACAGAUGUUUUAGCUAAGCUAAGCUAGCUAGAAAAAGCAAGCUAAUAGCGCUAUUAGCUUGGUUAGCAUCGGGAUUUAUACGAAACAGCUAACCUGAGUAACACAAAUAAAACUACCAAUAUCUGAGAUGAAACAUAAUUAGCUAGUUUAAAACUUUACAACGAACAUUAAUUAGUUUUAAAAAGCGGUCUGUUCAAUUCACGUUUUCAGGUUUGAUAUGUAGGCCGCAAGUGCUUUAAAUAGUCUGAGGUUCGACUCCCGAUCUAGGACUUACCUCCUUCUUUUUGCCCAUUUCCUGUCCACUUACUGUGAAUAAAAGCAGUUGAUUUAACAAACACAUCAUUUUAUCUAAUUGGUUGGUUUCACGAUUCAAAAUUUCUGCAAUUUAACCCAGAAAUAUGUAGUAAUAUGCUGCGUGCUGGAUGUAAAAAUGCUAAUCUUGCUAGUUGUUUCACAUAUUUCACACCAAAUUACAGCUAACGCUUAAGAAAUCGGACAUUUAAUUACAUUAAUUUAACAUUUAAAAACUUUACAUUUGGUGUUAAAAUUAGGAAAGUGUUAGCAUUUAUUCCUCUGCUGUAAAUUUACCUUUUUUAAACUAACUUGUUGAACUAAACUGUACAAUUAGCUUAGCUAAAGUUAGCAUUAGGAUUCAAGAAACACUUUUCCUGAUAUUGCCGUAUUAAACUAAAUUAAAUACAUCUACUUACAAAAAUUAAAAACUUUGAACUACACAUUCAUUUACUAUCCUUGGAGAUAUUUACUUUAAGCUAAGCUAGUUUUCUGCUCCAAACAGUAGGUUAGUGAAGCUAAAGUUAGCAAAGAACUCGAUAAAAAGCAAGUCUUAAAAAACUGUCUAGUGCUAAAGACAAAUCAUUGGCAAAGAUGAAGAAAAUAUAAAAGUAAAAAAUAACCCUGAAUUAGUUUCCAAAAAAUAAAGCUUUACUUUAAGCCACGGUUAAUACAGGUAUUUUUUUAGAAUACCAAGCCUGAGCAAUAUGAAUAAAUCUGAAAAUAUCUUAGGCUAAACACACUUUUUUCAUUAAAAUUUAGCAACAAGUUGACAGAAACCCAACAUUUAAUUUUUUGGGGGGAAAAACGUAUUAGCUUUUAUAGCUAACUGAUCUGAUUCAAGCGUGAUCCGUUUGUAGUCAGAACUCAGAAAAUCCGACUGGAACACACCAAAGAAGUCGGACACUUUCUCAAACGCCGACUUCCAGAUCCAAUAUGGCUGCUGUCCGCAUCAACAAUGGUGACCUGCAGUAAAAACGUUUAUUUUGAUGAUGGCCCACUUAGGCAUGUCAGCUCCAAUUCUAACUGUAAUUGUUUACAUCACUGAUUAUUAUUAGCUAUUGAACAACUAAAAAUGUUUGUGUGAAUGUACCUGGUAAGUGAAAGCACAGAUUCUGAUACUAAAGAUUGUGAAAAUUUCUUAAAUGACAAUUUGAAAACCACUCAGAGCGAAUGAAGCCAUUUUCCCCAUGUUAUAAGUGGAGAAUAAUUUACUUAAAACAAGUAGAAAAGUUACUUUUAUGCUAAUUUUGUCUUUUUUUCAAGAAUACCAAGACAUUUGUACUAGAAACUAGAAAAUUUGGGGGUUUUUUUAGUGAAGAAAACCUACUGAAAAACCUGCCAAAUUCUGAGAAAUUCAUGUAAAAAUAUGGCUAUAUGAAGUAAUUCUGAUGUAAAACAGAAAGCAGGGGGCAAAUACUUUCCCAGAUAAUUAUUCCCCCCCAAAAUGUUCAGACAAAUGUUGCCACAAGUGAUAUAAAACUGUCAUUACAGUGAUUUAUUACAAUGAACCAUGAAAAUAGCCAACCAGUGCAGUGUCUGUGAGUCUCUCUCCACCACACAAACGCAACACUCACACACACAAAUAAAAAAAAAAAUUAAAAAAAAAGAGACAAAGUUGAAGAGUCAAUAAAAGGGAAGAGAAAAAUAAAAAAUAAAAUAAAAAUAAUGCUACAGUCACAGAAACAUUCAGCUUUGCCGAGAACAGCGUUCAUAUUUACAACCAUAUCUUAAAAUGGGACUUUAUGGGUCGGGUCAUCAGGGUCGGAUGAGAGCAAAUUGUACAAGCAUAGAAAA